rnacentral:rRNA from 1 species
UACGGAGGGUGCAAGCGUUAUCCGGAUUCACUGGGUUUAAAGGGUGCGUAGGUGGGUUGGUAAGUCAGUGGUGAAAUCUCCGAGCUUAACUUGGAAACUGCCAUUGAUACUAUCAGUCUUGAAUAUUGUGGAGGUUAGCGGAAUAUGUCAUGUAGCGGUGAAAUGCUUAGAUAUGACAUAGAACACCAAUUGCGAAGGCAGCUGGCUACACGAAUAUUGACACUGAUGCACGAAAGCGUGGGGAUCAAACAGG